AAUGACAAAGCCAAAAUUCAGGCCUUGCCCAAAAACAAAAAUGCAUCUCGGGUGGUGGCCUCUGCCCAAAUAGCUGUCCAAAAACUUUCUGCCUUGGGCUAUAUGCCCAUAUUAUUUAUCAGCCAGAGGCACAAGGGCACAGGCAAGUUGAUGGCAGAUGUAGUAACGCAUCUGCCACCGACGCAAAACAACACAUGUUUCUUAACCAGCAUGAAGAGGGCAUAUGACUUCAUGAUCAAACUGGAUGAUGUGCCCCAGCCCCAGCAAGACCAGCCCCAGCAAGACCAGCCCCUAGAGGUCUUCACAGUGCACCCGAGACCCGUCGACCCCGCACCCGACCCGGGACCCGUACGGGUUCGGGUCUAUAUUUUAAAUCAUCAGCCGGGUCCGGGUCGGGUCCGAAUCUAUUACCUCGGGUCCCGGGUCUGUUUAACAUUGUGUGUAAUACCCGUGCGAUCGCCGAUCGGAGUCAUCGGACUCGGAGAACAUCUGGCCGUUAUCAAAGACUGCUUGUGUUUUUUGUAA
rnacentral:lncRNA from 1 species